CUGCCAUCUGACAUCAUGAUCGCACUCCUCAUCAGAUUUUCUGUCUCAAUACUCUGGACAGGUUUUACUGAUGGGAGUGAUGUUACUCAGAGCCCCUUCAGACUCCAGAUUCUCAAGGACAAAGAUGUUCAGAUUGACUGUAGUCAUACUAAACCAGCUACCUAUAGAGAGAUGUAUUGGUACAGACAACGUCCAGGAGAAGGAAUCAAACAAAUAGUUCAUUCAAAUUCUUAUAGCAAUCCAGACUAUGGAGAAUUCAGUAAAGAGAAAUAUUCAGUUGUCAAGACAGAAGCACAGAGUGGAUCUUUCACAGUGAAGAAGUUGGAGACAGGAGACAGUGGAAUGUACUUCUGUGCUGUCAGUCGUUUAGCAGCAAGGUUCAUCAGACCCCAGUAGCACUAAUAGAGGGACCUGGAGAAAAUGUAGAAGUCACCAGAAAUCAUACUAUCCCUAGCUACUAUGGUAUUCUAUGGUACCAACAGUCUGCAGGAGACAUUGGUAUCAAACUCACUUGUAAUAUAUAUGCACAGUCAGUAACCAUGGAGACA